AUUGAACGCUGGCGGCAUGCCUAACACAUGCAAGUCGAACGGUAACAGGGGCUUCGGCCCGCUGACGAGUGGCGGACGGGUGAGUAACGCGUAGGAAUCUUCCCAGUAGCGGGUGAUAGCUCGGCGAAAGCCGGAUUAAUACCGCAUACGCCCUACGGGGAAAGCAGGGGAUCGCAAGACCUUGCACUAUUGGAUGAGCCUACGUCUGAUUAGCUAGUUGGUAGGGUAAAGACCACCAAGGCGACGAUCAGUAGCUGGUCUGAGAGGACGAUCAGCCACACUGGGACUGAGACACGGCCCAGACUCCUACGGGAGGCAGCAGUGGGGAAUAUUGGACAAUGGGCGCAAGCCUGAUCCAGCAAUGCCGCGUGUGUGAAGAAGGCCUGCGGGUUG
rnacentral:rRNA from 1 species